GCCCAGACUCCUACGGGAGGCAGCAGUGAGGAAUAUUGGGCAAUGGGCGGAAGCCUGAACCAGCCAAGUCGCGUGAGGGAUUAAGGCCCUGCGGGUCGUAAACCUCUUUUGCCGGGGAGCAGAGGUCCGGACGUGUCCGGGCCGGGAGAGUACCCGGAGAAAAAGCAUCGGCUAACUCCGUGCCAGCAGCCGCGGUAAUACGGAGGAUGCGAGCGUUAUCCGGAUUUAUUGGGUUUAAAGGGUGCGUAGGCGGAGUGUCAAGUCAGCGGUAAAAUUUCGGGGCUCAACCCCGUCGUGCCGUUGAAACUGACGCCCUUGAGUGAGUGAGAAGUAAGCGGAAUGCGUGGUGUAGCGGUGAAAUGCAUAGAUAUCGCGCAGAACUCCGAUUGCGAAGGCAGCAUGCCGGCUCCACACUGACGCUGAGGCACGAAAGCGUGGGUAUCGAACAGGAUUAGAUACCCGUGUA
rnacentral:rRNA from 1 species